rnacentral:rRNA from 1 species
AUGUUCGGCAAUUGGUUGAGGGGAAUAGAUAAACAAUUGUCUAAGCACAUUCUUGCGGGGGCAGCUGCCUUAUGUUGGGCGUUGUGGCUCACCAGGAAUGAUAUUGUUUUUAAUCAUAAAAGUAUUUCAUCUCCUAUGCAGGUAAUUCAUAUAUGCUCGCGAUGGCUCCGUAUGUGGUCUAUCCUGCAGAGGCCGAAGGACAGAGACUUUUUUAUGAUGGCUUCUACCCGGUUGGAGUGCUCGGCCAGGGACAUUUUUUACCCUCAUGGAUGGCGGUGUGACCUUCGGAUUGGACCGGCAUCACCUUAG